GACGAACGCUGGCGGCGUGCUUAACACAUGCAAGUCGAACGGAAAGGCCUCUUUCGGGGGGUACUCGAGUGGCGAACGGGUGAGUAACACGUGAGUAACCUGCCCUUGACUUUGGGUUAACUUCAGGAAAUUGGGGCUAAUACCGGAUAGGAGCUCCUGCUGCAUGGUGGGGGUUGGAAAGUUUCGGCGGUUGGGGAUGGACUCGCGGCUUAUCAGCUUGUUGGUGGGGUAGUGGCUUACCAAGGCUUUGACGGGUAGCCGGCCUGAGAGGGUGACCGGCCACAUUGGGACUGAGAUACGGCCCAGACUCCUACGGGAGGCAGCAGUGGGGAAUAUUGCACAAUGGGUGGAAGCCUGAUGCAGCAACGCCGUGUGCGGGAUGACGGCCUUCGGGUUGUAAACCGCUUUCGCUCAUGACGAAGCUUUGUGUGACGGUAGUGGGUAAAGAAGCACCGGCUAACUACGUG
rnacentral:rRNA from 1 species